rnacentral:rRNA from 1 species
AGUGAACGCUGGCGGUAGGCCUAACACAUGCAAGUCGAACGGCAGCACAGUAAGAGCUUGCUCUUACGGGUGGCGAGUGGCGGACGGGUGAGGAAUACAGCGGAAUCUACUUUUUCGUGGGGGAUAACGUAGGGAAACUUACGCUAAUACCGCAUACGACCUACGGGUGAAAGCAGGGGCUUUUCGGACCUUGCUCGAUUGAAUGAGCCGAUGUCGGAUUAGCUAGUUGGCGGGGUAAAGGCCCACUAAGGCGACGAUCCGUAGCUGGUCAACGAGGAGGAUCAGCCACACUGGGAGUGAGACACGGUCCAGACUCCUACGGGGAGCAGCAGUGGAGAAUAUUGGACAAUGGGCGCAGGCCUGAUCCAGCCAUACCGCGUGGGUGAAGAAAGCCUUGGGGUUGUAAAGCACUUUUGUUGGGAAAGAAAAGCAGCAGGUUAAUACCCCGCUGUUCUGACGGUACCCAAAGAAUAAGCACCGGCUAACUUCGUG